rnacentral:rRNA from 1 species
UUAAAUUGAAGAGUUUGAUCAUGGCUCAGAUUGAACGCUGGCGGCAGGCCUAACACAUGCAAGUCGAACGGUAACAGAAAGCAGCUUGCUGCUUUGCUGACGAGUGGCGGACGGGUGAGUAAUGUCUGGGAAACUGCCUGAUGGAGGGGGAUAACUACUGGAAACGGUAGCUAAUACCGCAUAACGUCGCAAGACCAAAGAGGGGGACCUUCGGGCCUCUUGCCAUCGGAUGUGCCCAGAUGGGAUUAGCUUGUUGGUGGGGUAACGGCUCACCAAG